GACGAACGCUGGCGGCGUGCCUAAUACAUGCAAGUUGAGCGAUGAAGACUGGUGCUUGCACCAAUUUGAAGAGCAGCGAACGGGUGAGUAACGCGCGGGGAAUCUGCCUUUGAGCGGGGGACAACAUUUGGAAACGAAUGCUAAUACCGCAUAACAACUUUAAACAUAAGUUUUAAGUUUGAAAGAUGCAAUUGCAUCACUCAAAGAUGAUCCCGCGUUGUAUUAGCUAGUUGGUGAGGUAAAGGCUCACCAAGGCGAUGAUACAUAGCCGACCUGAGAGGGUGAUCGGCCACAUUGGGACUGAGACACGGCCCAAACUCCUACGGGAGGCAGCAGUAGGGAAUCUUCGGCAAUGGACGAAAGUCUGACCGAGCAACGCCGCGUGAGUGAAGAAGGUUGUCGGAUCGUAAAACUCUGUUGGUAGAGAAGAACGUUGGUGAGAGUGGAAAGCUCAUCAAGUGACGGUAACUACCCAGAAAGGGACGGCUAACUACGUG
rnacentral:rRNA from 1 species